rnacentral:snRNA from 1 species
GUGCCCAAUACCAAUGCACAUACACUAAAACUGGAGUGAGAUUAGCAUGGCCCCUGUGUAAGGAUGACAUGCAAAUUGGUGAUGUAUUUGUAUUUUUA